rnacentral:ncRNA from 2 species
GGUCAUGAGCGCCAGCAUCGAGCCCCGGCUUGCUGGCCGGCAACCCUCGUUCCGCGGUGGG